AAUCUUAUAAUUUAAAUUAAAAUAUUAAAAUGCAAAUUUAAAAAUAUAUUAAAAAUAUUAAGAUUU
rnacentral:tRNA from 1 species